UCUUGGUCAUUUAGAGGAAGUAAAAGUCGUAACAAGGUCUCCGUUGGUGAACCAGCGGAGGGAUCAUUACCGAGUACUAUAACUCAUAACCCUUUGUGAACCUUCAUACCUGUUGCUUCGGCGGCGCGCCUCUCGGGGCGUGCCCGCCGGCAUUAUCAGAAUCUCUGUUCGAACCCGACGAUACUUCUGAGUGUUCUAAGCGAACUGUUAAAACUUUCAACAACGGAUCUCUUGGCUCCAGCAUCGAUGAAGAACGCAGCGAAACGCGAUAUGUAAUGUGAAUUGCAGAAUUCAGUGAAUCAUCGAGUCUUUGAACGCACAUGGCGCCUUCCAGUAUCCUGGGAGGCAUGCCUGUCCGAGCGUCGUUUCAACCCUCGAGCCCCCGUGGCCCGGCGUUGGGGACCUGCCCAGGCAGUCCCCGAAAACCAGUGGCGGACCCGACGGGCCCUUCCUUUGCGUAGUAACAUCUGCCUCGCAUCGGGAGCCCCCGGGCUAUCCGGCCUCUAAACCCCCCUCAAGCCCGCUCCGGCGGCACCAAGGUUGACCUCGGAUCAGGUAGGAAUACCCGCUGAACUUAAGCAUAUCAAUAAGCGGAGGAA
rnacentral:rRNA from 1 species